AGGGCUAAUAUAGUAACACCACGAAAGGUCAAUUAAAUCAUUGAGAUCUAAAUCGAGCUAUUGGAGCAUAGAUAUAUAGGACUAAUAUCAAACCCAGAAAAUUGAAUAUCUGUAUCGAUUCUACAACCCUUGUUCUCAGGCGAACAGAGUCGAAUCGAACAAGACUGUUGCUGAGUUACGCAAUCUGCCACUGGAAUAGGUGGUUGGGUUUGAAUCUAUGGCGUUCAACUGUUGCUGUGAUUGGUCGUCUAAGUUGCCCGAUGAGUUGACGGUGGAGAUACUAUGUAGAUUGCCAGAAAAGCCUCUGAUUCAAUUCAAGUCCGUGUCGAAAGCUUGGUACUUAUUGAUUUCUGAUGUUUGCGUUCCCAGAAUCUCUUCAUCCGCACCUCUCUCCGGAUUUCUCUUCAGGUUGAUUCCCCUUCUUCCAUUCUCCGAUUUCCUUAUGGAAUAUGUUCCAUCAGAUUGUCGGAGAACCCUGCUGGACAGAGGACGAUUUGUGGAGUCGUAUUCGAAGUUAUUACCCUUUCAACCUACUGCCAGGGACGUUCUCGACUGCUGCAACGGUUUGCUCUUAAUUCUUCACCGCUCCUCUGUUCCUCCCUCUGUUCCUUCACAGUAUUAUGUGUGUAACCCUGCCACAAAACAAUGUGUGGCUAUUCCCGUGAACCCUAAUCAUCUAGAUCCCAUAUAUGCUGUACUUGCUUUUAAUCCUGUUGAGUCCCCACCGAAUAAUACUAAUAAUAAUAAUUAUAAAAUAGUUCGGUUAGCUAGCUCUGCCAGCACUGCCUCUGUAACUCAUCCGCCAGAGCUGGAUGUUUUCUCCUCCGUUACUGGCAAGUGGGUCAACCAUCCGGUUCCACUCCAGCCUGAACCUGAGCUUUAUGGUUUCAAGUGGCUUUACAAGUCUGUUUAUUUGGAUGGGGUGUUGUACAUGUUAUCUUACAGUAGAUACCUCUUGUGUUUUGAUCUCAAUGCCGAUAAUUUGAAUCCCCGAGCUGUGAAGCUCCCGAACAAGGGCAAGGCUCUUGGUGUUGGAUUCAUUGGGAUGUCCAAAGAUUGCUUCUAUUACUCUAAUCAUGUUGAAAAUGCAAUCCUUGUUUGGUCACUUGACCAUGACCGGUCACUUGACCAUGACCAUCAUUGGAUUUUGAAGCAUAGCAUCUGCAUUGAUGACUUGGUUCGGUUUCAUCACGGCAGAAUUUUAGACCGCUAUCGCCUUUCUCCGCUGCUCGUGCCUUGUGCUUUACAUCCAACUUCAGAAGCUAUCCUCAUUGCUAUUCCCAGAUUGAUAUUCAGCUAUAAUCUGAAAACCAAUCAGUUCAAUGUAUUUUACGUACUGCAAGAAAACAGGAAUUUGAUUGAUGAUGGAUGUUUCUUCUUUCCGUACUCACGCUGCUUGGUUGUUUUGAAUGAUUUUAGGCAGGUAAAAAUUUUGGACCUAUCCAUUUUGUAACCAGUUUACUUCAUGUAUAUAUAUAUAUAUAUAUUUGUGUACAUAUUCAACCAUGCGUAUCUUUAAUAUUUGCUAAUAAUUCAUUGAGUUGCUUACUCUGUGAGGACCUUUUUAGUAUUUCUUGUUUUGAUGUCCCCUUUGUUUAACGUGCAUUCAUUAGGAUAUUAGUAUUUUCUAAUAACACUUUUAAAGGCUGGAAGGUUCCGAUAUGACUUGAAUUUGGGAGAUGAAUGAUAUGCCAAGGAACAAGGGUUUAGAGGUUGGAGUUACCAUCUGAUGGUCCAGAUCAGAUCCUCGUUCAUACUGGAUUUGCCAAAACUAGUUUAAUGGUGGUGCUACUUGGAUAUGACUAUAUAAAUUAUCCGGCAGGCUCCAAUAUUUAUAUGCGUGCUCAAAUGUACGAUUUUGUCCUUAGUGUUAUUUAACAAUAUAUAUUGUGACCUUUAUUUUAAUUCCUGCUUUUUUCUUUUAAGGAGAAUAUUAUCGUAUCUCUCAUUAGAGGUGUAGAACAUUCAAUUGCCUUCCCUGCGAUUCAGUAGUCCUCUUCUUUGAUAGCUCUUAGGCCAGUGAAUUUCACUCCUUCAGUUCCUACUUUCA